GACGAACGCUGGCGGCGUGCUUAACACAUGCAAGUCGAACGGUAAGGCCCUUCGGGGUACACGAGUGGCGAACGGGUGAGUAACACGUGGGUGAUCUGCCCUGCACUUCGGGAUAAGCCUGGGAAACUGGGUCUAAUACCGGAUAGGACUCCGGACUGCAUGGUCUGGGGUGGAAAGCUUUUGCGGUGUGGGAUGGGCCCGCGGCCUUUCAGCUUGUUGGUGGGGUGAUGGCCUACCAAGGGAUCGACGGGUAGCCGGCCGGAGAGGGUGCACGGUCGCGAUGGGGAUGAGAGACGGCCCAGACUCGUACGGGAGGCAGCAGGGGGGGAGGUUGCACAAUGGGCGCAAGCCUGUUGCAGCGAGGCCGCGUGAGGGAUGACGGCCUUCGGGUUGUAAACCUCUUUCAGCAACGACGAAGCGAAAGUGACGGUAGGUGCAGAAGAAGGACCGCCCAACUACGUGCCAGCCGCCGCCGUAA
rnacentral:rRNA from 1 species